rnacentral:tRNA from 3 species
GGGGCCGUAGUGUAGCUUGGCUAUCACUCUAGCCUGGGGUGCUAGCAACCUGGAUUCGAAUUCCAGCGGCCCCA